rnacentral:sRNA from 1 species
UUGACAGCCCCGCAAGAUGAAGUCCUCUCUUUAUCCACAGGGUAAAUACAGCAUGAGCAGUAGGAAGCUCAGCCUUCCCUCACUGCCCUGUUAGUGCUCCUCGGCCUCAACGUGGCAGGACUAUACCUAAGGAUGGGUUCUAGGCCUACUGAUAACGGAUCCCUGCUUUGACACCCGUCCCAGGUCAAUUAGUGCCAUUU